GAGAUGUCGCGUAGGGGUUUGGAGACUACACAUUGUGUGAAAUGAUGAGACCUUGUCGGACUCCUAGUGUUGCUGCUCUUCCAUUUUAACUCGGAGACACGCACAUUCAGUACGCUGCGAGUUCGGUACGUGCGCAUCUGGGAGUUCAUCGCAGUUUUCCGGCUGUUCCACAUGGGAGAUUAUAGAAGCAACGAAGAGCUGGGACAGCAGCGGCAGUGCCAUCUCUCACUUCUUCCUCUUUUUCGUUCUGUUUUUAUAUUUAUUCUGAAUGUCAGCAGAGUUUGAGUGAUUUACGUCAUUUAUAACUCACAUUUAAAAAGAAGACCUGAAUCAACCGUGAGAUUCUGGAUAUUUCAUUUCUUCACAUCUGUUUGAUGCCAUUGCUUGGAUAACCUGCUCAAAGUAGUAAGAAGACAGAAAGACGAGAGAGCCAAAGCCUGCUGUUUGGGAAUAGACAGAUGACUGACAGAUGACUGACUUCGGCACCCCGAAGGCUGGACGUCCGGUUUCAGGAGUCAUUUGCAUAAAUUGCGCCGUUUUUUCAAAAGGAGAAGGAGGACAGCAAUCGGAGGAAAAGGGCCAACAAAAUAGCAAAAUGGGUCCGGAUCUGCAUUGGCCAUGUAAAAGGAAUUACGGCUACGAAGACCUGUCUGUUUGGGGAGGGAAAAGAAUUUUAUGAUUUUGGCCACAAGUGCGGCAGCCUACCAGGCUGCAACUGGGGAUUGGGUGCCAAAGGUGCCAGGGGGAUUGGCCCCCAAUAGUAUAUGAAUAAUUUUGUCAAGAACAGGCCACACAAAACAACACAGCUCAUUUUAGCCUAUUCACCUAACUCCUGAAAACAUCAUCAAGCUGACCUGCAAUGAUCCCCAAAGUACUAUACUUCAAUUGGAGCCAGGGGCUCAAAGAGCAGCCCAUCUGAGAAUAAUCAGAUACCUUCUGCUGCCUGGAGUAAAACUAACUUUCAGGUAAUGGUCAAAACUUUAUUCUUGGACAGUCUGCAGAGGUGUCAUUUUCUACUGAUUGAUACCUCUGUCAUCAAAAGACAUUCAGAAGACUAGCUGAACAUGAAACUCCUAAUACUGACUGGUAUGGUACAUUUCACACAAGAAUAUUAGUUCAGCUUAGUCACUCUUUGUCAUAACUCCUGGUCAUGGAAUAAUGCAAAUGGAGUACAAAAAGGACUUGUACUUAAACAAAUCCACAACAGAUCAACCAAGUGAGAACACAAACUGUCAGAAGAGAAAACAAGAAGCCCUGUAAAAACAUAGCUGCCAUUGCUGAAUCCUAGCUAUGCCCUGUCGCUUUGUAUGCUGCUGCCUGAUGUCCACUAGAAGUGCCUUGGCCUCUGUUUACUCUUCCAAGAUUUCCCUUUCUUGACUGGGGGAUCAGAUUGCUGUUAGCACCCUAGGAAAAUCCUGGCAUUCUGCACAUUUCCUUCUACAUUUUGUCUUACAAUGACACUCUCAAAGGACAUAUUCCUAGGUAUAAUUUACAUUACCAAGGCAUACGUACUUUGCAUCCCCCAGACAGGAAUUGAUUGUCUUUCUAAAUUGGUAUGUGGAAAUGGUCUCCCUCAGACCAUAACACGCCUCACUCACCUCCUCAUGCACCUACAGUAGGUUCAAACACAGUUAUUAAGAAAGAACUUGCAAUUUUGGUCCUAAUUAUUAAUUUCCUGCUGUGAGAGAAUUGGCUUAUAUUGAGGCAGGAUACUAGAAAAAGAUAAGUGCAUCUUAAGCAAAAAAAUUGAUUAUAUAUUUAGGUUUAUAGGGUCAUUACUUAUCCGUCAGUUAUCCUGACAGGACCUGUCAAUUCCUUAGGAAGAUGUAGAGAAUGCUGAUGAAGACUGAAAAGCUUGGCUUAGCCCAGUGCUCAUCAGGCCACACUGAAACAUUAGGUCAGAAAGGAGGAGCUUUUACAUAGAGCUACACAAUUACAGCGCUUAGCCGUUUUGGUCCCAUCAUUCCAGUGAUUUGUUUCCCUAGCCAGACUGUUUGCACCCUCUCCCAAGCCUAAAUGUAUUUUUUUUUCUGAUUUCACCCAUUUAACCUUAAAGACAUGCAUGUUAGGUGUCCACCUCCAUGAUAUAGCCUCUAGCUCCCUGCAGCGCUGAACUGAGCUAAGCAGAUUUGACAAUGUUACGUUAGGAGAAUUACUUUUUGGAUUGCUGUGUGUUGCUAUGAAU